AUAGCUCCAUCCUUCCUCAGCAUCCUUUUUGGCCUUAGGUGUUCUUCGAGUCGUCCCCAUCUCUGCAUCUCUUCAUCCCUGCAUCCUUCGGACCAGCCUAGGUUAGUUCCAGAACUCCCCUCCUUGUUUUUUCUCUUGUUGUUCUUCUUUUGUUUUUCUUCUGUCACAUUCCAUCUGUUCGGUUUUCCACAAACUUUCCGUUUCUUAUUUCUCUCAAUUUUUUC
rnacentral:lncRNA from 1 species